AAGAUUUCACAGAAGCUCUUUUAAGUGUUGACCCCAGCAGGUUUCAGGACACCUGGAGACUGUCUGACGGCUUUGUUGCUGCUGAGGCCAAAGUCAUCCUCCCCCAUCGGGCCCGGUCUAGGCCUGAUCUUAUGGACAAUUACUUGGCAUUUGUCCUGUCUGCCUUCAUCACCAGUGGGUUGUUAGAGGUGAGUGUGUGACCAGA